ensembl:snRNA U1 U1 spliceosomal RNA
AUACUUACCUUGGCAGGGAAGAUACCAUGAUCAUGAAGGUGGUUUUCCCAGGGUGAAACUUAUCCAUUGUAUUCUGGUUAUGCUGACCCUUGCAAUUUCCCAUAUUUGUGGAAAACUCCGCUGCAUAACUUGUGGUAGUGGAGGGCUGCGUUUGAGCAUUCCCCUG